rnacentral:rRNA from 1 species
UACGUAGGGGGGCAAGCGUUGUCCGGAUUUAUUGGGCGUAAAGCGCGCGCAGGCGGCACUGUAAGUAAGGUGUGAAAUAUCCCUGCUCAACGGGGAGGGUGCACUUUAGACUGCAGAGCUAGAGGACGGUAGAGGGGGGUGGAAUUGCUGGUGUAGCGGUGAAAUGCGUAGAGAUCGUAAGGAAGACCAGUGGCGAAGGCGGGUCUCUGGACAGUUCCUGACGCUGAGGCACGAAGGCCAGGGGAGCAAACGGG